rnacentral:lncRNA from 1 species
AUUAAAUAAAAUCAUAUCCAAAACAAAUAAACUUAACAAAACAAUAUUCAAAAACUAACUCAGAAAAUAGAGGGAUCCUAACAAUUCCUCCACUUUCAGUUUAGCCUUUAUCUCAAGGUUGAGCAGCAUCAAAUUCUGAAAACUUCUUUUUUAGCACUUGGUAGAUAACCAAGUGGCAUCUUCCUUUGGUAAGUUGACCCAUUGUACCAG